AACUCUGAGCGGUGGAUCACGUCGGCUCGUGUGCGUCGAUGAAGAGCGCAGCCAACCUGCGUGAAUUAGUGUGAAUUGCAGGAUAUCUUGGUAACAUCGACAUCUUGAACGCAUAUUGCGGGCCUCAGGUCCUCCCCUGUUGUGGCCACGCCUGGCCGAGGGUCU
rnacentral:rRNA from 1 species